rnacentral:rRNA from 1 species
GCUCUUGAAACCCAAAGAAUUUGGCGGUAUUUUAUUCUUUUUAGAGGAACCUGUCCUGUAAUUGAUAGUCCACGAUGGAGAGUUACUUAUUUUUGUUUUCAUUCUGUAUACCUCCGUCAUCAGAAUAUCUUUUUAGAGAUAAUAUUCUAUUAACACUAAAUGAGAUAUGUCAGGUCAAGGUGCAAUUUAUGAAUAAGUAGAGAUGGGUUACAAUAAAAAUAUUUAUACGAAUUAUAAUUAUUAAUUAUUUAUAUGAAGGUGGAUUUAAAAGUAAAAUUGUUCACUUCUCAAUUUGAUUUUAGCUCUAAAAUAUGCACACAUCGCCCGUCGCUCUUAUUUUAAAAUAAGAUAAGUCGUAACAUAGUAGAUGUACCGGAAGGUGUAUCUAG